rnacentral:rRNA from 1 species
CCGGGCCUACGGGAGGCAGCAGUGAGGAAUAUUGGUCAAUGGCCGAGAGGCUGAACCAGCCACGUCACGUGAGGGAAGAAUGUCCUAUGGAUUGUAAACCUCUUUUGUCAGGGAGCAAAGUCACCCACGUGUGGGUGUUGGAGAGUACCUGAAGAAAAAGCAUCGGCUAACUCCGUGCCAGCAGCCACGGUAAUACGGAGGAUGCGAGCGUUAUCCGGAUUUAUUGGGUUUAAAGGGUGCGUAGGCGGGUUAUCAAGUCAGCGGUAAAAUCGUGGAGCUCAACUCCAUCCAGCCGUU